UUUUGCCCUCAGGUCAAGC
rnacentral:rRNA from 1 species